ACAGGAUGGGGGGCAGUGUGGGGUAGAGGAGAAUCUGAUCUGGUAUUGGGUGAGGGAAAAGGACUGAAGCCCUGAGGGCCAGCAGAAAGAAUGUAAACAGGCAACCUCAGGAAAUAGGAUCUUGGGAUGAUUCCCCCAGAAUGCACAGAGACCUGGGAGGUGAGAGACUCCCAGGACUUAUAGGGAGGGACCUUUGAUGAAAUGCCUGACAGUAGGGAGAGGGGACUUAUAGAGCCCACCUCCAGCAAGAAGACAGGACAUCAAGUGAGGGAUGGACUUGCCAUUCCACAGUCAUACCUCUGACCCAUAAUUGUUUCUGUCUGAAAGAAUUACAGGGAUGGAAAUGGAGAGGAGCCUGAGGAAAAGGAGGUCCAGCAACAGGCCCAAAGUGGGAUCCAGCUCAAGGGGAGGUCCCAAGGCCUGACGCUAUUACUGAGGCUAUGGAGUGCUCACAAAAAGGGACCAAGCAUGCCUGCCCUCCAAAGACCCAACAAGCAGCUGAAAGAGUCAGAUGCAGUUAUUUGCACCCAACCAAUGGACAGAAGCAGCUGACCCCUGUUGUUGAAUUAGGGAAGCUGAAAGAAGGGCAGCAGCAUCAUGGUCGUGUGCGUGGUACAUGGCAUGGUGAAGGAACAGCCUCCUUACCUCAUGGUGGCUAGGAGGAAAAGAGAAAGCGAAAGGGGAGAGAGUCGAGUUCCAGAUCCCUCUGCUGGAAAUUCACAGUAAUGCAACUUUCUCCCACUAGGCUCUGUUUCUAAAAAACACUACCUCUUCCCAAACUGUCUGUCUAUUGAUGAAAGAUCAACUCAUUACUGACUUCUUUCUCUUCUAUAUCUCCAGACCCCCACUAGCUCCUUUCACUUGCUGAAUGAUAAAACUUUUCCUGGGAUGACAGAACACACACAUGUACUCACCCAGAAAGGGAGCCUAACUCAGACCAAAGUACAGAGAUCAUCAAAGUUCAACUUGGGAGGGCUGAAGAACAUGCAUGUGGAAACAUCUUUACUCAUGAAGACACUGUGACAGGCACAGAGCUCCGAUUUAUCCAGGUGUUGGGAUGAAGAUGGCUUUACUCAUGAAGGACCAGGAUUUUACCUAAGGGAAGAACAUGCUUCAUAAAGAAGCAUUUUUAAAACCAAUUUGCAUGAUUACUGAAAUUUGAACUGGAACCUGAAACAGGGUAAACACACCUUGUGUUCAUAUAAUGUGAAGGUCAAAUAUUACAGGGU
rnacentral:lncRNA from 1 species